GAUGAACGCUGGCGGCGUGCCUAAUACAUGCAAGUCGAGCGAACAGACGAGGAGCUUGCUCCUCUGACGUUAGCGGCGGACGGGUGAGUAACACGUGGAUAACCUACCUAUAAGACUGGGAUAACUUCGGGAAACCGGAGCUAAUACCGGAUAAUAUAUUGAACCGCAUGGUUCAAUAGUGAAAGACGGUUUUGCUGUCACUUAUAGAUGGAUCCGCGCCGCAUUAGCUAGUUGGUAAGGUAACGGCUUACCAAGGCAACGAUGCGUAGCCGACCUGAGAGGGUGAUAGGCCACACUGGAACUGAGACACGGUCCAGACUCCUACGGGAGGCAGCAGUAGGGAAUCUUCCGCAAUGGGCGAAAGCAUGACGGAGCAACGCCGCGUGAGUGAUGAAGGUCUUCGGAUCGUAAAACUCUGUUAUUAGGGAAGAACAAAUGUGUAAGUAACUAUGCACGUCUUGACGGUACCUAAUCAGAAAGACACGGCUAACUACGUG
rnacentral:rRNA from 1 species